CAGUAGUUAGUUUAUACAAAAUAUGGCGUUUGGGGUGUUAAGAAUUUGUUACUGG
rnacentral:tRNA from 1 species